UGGCAGUCAGAGGCGAUGAAGGGCGUGCUAAUCUGCGAUAAGCGCCGGUAAGGUGAUAUGAACCGUUAUAACCGGCGAUACCCGAAUGGGGAAACCCAGUGUGACUCGUCACACUAUCAUUAACUGAAUCCAUAGGUUAAUGAGGCGAACCGGGGGAACUGAAACAUCUAAGUACCCCGAGGAAAAGAAAUCAACCGAGAUUCCCCCAGUAGCGGCGAGCGAACGGGGAGGAGCCCAGAGCCUGAAUCAGCAUGUGUGUUAGUGGAAGCGUCUGGAAAGGCGCGCGAUACAGGGUGACAGCCCCGUACACAAAAGCGCAUGUGCUGUGAGCUCGAUGAGUAGGGCGGGACACGUGGUAUCCUGUCUGAAUAUGGGGGGACCAUCCUCCAAGGCUAAAUACUCCUGACUGACCGAUAGUGAACCAGUACCGUGAGGGAAAGGCGAAAAGAACCCCGGCGAGGGGAGUGAAAAAGAACCUGAAACCGUGUACGUACAAGCAGUGGGAGCACCCUUUGGGUGUGACUGCGUACCUU
rnacentral:rRNA from 1 species